UGGCAGCAGCGAUGUGAUGGCAGCAGCGAAUAAUGGCAGCGGCGAGUGAUGAUAGCAGCGACUGAUGGCAGCAGCGACUGAUGGCAGCAGCGAUUGAUGGCAGCGAUGUGAUGGAGUUGACGUAGCAAAAUUGGACACUUGGCGACACUAUAUAUUUACGGGGUUUGGUAGCGGCACUGGAAGCGCCGAGACUAUUUCGAACCACUUGGUGUUAUUAACGUGAAACACACUGUACCGCACCUUCUUCACGUCACGUAUACGCGUAUAUAUGUAUGUAUAUUUAGAUUUACAAAGGAUGUCGCUUGGCGCAA